rnacentral:rRNA from 1 species
AUUGAACGCUGGCGGCAGGCUUAACACAUGCAAGUCGAGCGGUAGCACAAGAGAGCUUGCUCUCUGGGUGACGAGCGGCGGACGGGUGAGUAAUGUCUGGGAAACUGCCUGAUGGAGGGGGAUAACUACUGGUAACGGUAGCUAAUACCGCAUAACGUCGCAAGACCAAAGAGGGGGACCUUCGGGCCUCUUGCCAUCAGAUGUGCCCAGAUGGGAUUAGCUAGUAGGUGGGGUAAUGGCUCACCUAGGCGACGAUCCCUAGCUGGUCUGAGAGGAUGACCAGCCACACUGGAACUGAGACACGGUCCAGACUCCUACGGGAGGCAGCAGUGGGGAAUAUUGCACAAUGGGCGCAAGCCUGAUGCAGCCAUGCCGCGUGUGUGAAGAAGGCCUUCGGGUUGUAAAGCACUUUCAGCGAGGAGGAAGGUGGUGAGCUUAAUACGCUCAUCAAUUGACGUUACUCGCAGAAGAAGCACCGGCUAACUCCGUGCCAGCAGCCGCGGUAAUACGGAGGGUGCAAGCGUUAAUCGGAAUUACUGGGCGUAAAGCGCACGCAGGCGGUUUGUUAAGUCAGAU